rnacentral:rRNA from 1 species
UACGUAGGGGGCGAGCGUUGUCCGGAAUUAUUGGGCGUAAAGAGCGUGUAGGCGGUUCGGUAAGUCUGCUGUGAAAUCCUGGAGCUCAACCCCGGGCGUGCAGCGGAUACUGGCGGGCUAGAGGGUGGUAGAGGCGAGUGGAAUUCCGAGUGUAGCGGUGAAAUGCGCAGAUAUUCGGAGGAACACCAGUGGCGAAGGCGGCUCGCUGGGCCGCACCUGACGCUGAGGCGCGAAAGCGUGGGGAGCGAACAGG